CCGCUAUCAGUUCUAAUGUGUCCACACCAUGUCAUGUUAUGGUUCAGACAGUUUAGCUCUCAGCCAAAUUGAAUCUGUUCCUUCUGCCAAUGUGGAGAUUAAUUAUUAUACAAGAGCAAUGAACUAAACAGAUAUUAUUUUAUGUAAACACUAGCCUUUUUUCUUUUCUCCCAAUGUUCAUUGAAACUAGGAACAUCGAAUUGCAUCACUCUAUUUACUGCUGCUUUAUUUAUCAAAUAUAAAGGGGCUUUGAGACGUUAUUAUACUUUCCAGCCAAAUUAGAAUGCUAUUUUAUGGGAAAAAGGGGUCCUGGCACAUAUGUAAUAGAACAGUUACUUUGUGCUGUUUACUGCUGGAUUCAAUUCUCCAGGUAAAGAUUCAUUCACACACUCAUCUUCUUCGAAUUUGGGAAGGGGGAGAUGCUGGUAACCUCAUUGCUUUUCUUCUUCCCUUCUGCAGAGUUUGAAGAUAAUCCCGACCUCUAUGUAUUGAAACCAAUAAAAUAUGUAGGCUUCGAAGUUUGGCAGGUAAGAACCAAGCUAUUAUUUUAUUUUGUGGAAUUUUCAUUUAUACCUUGUUUUCACAUAUUCCUGUUUGAAAUUUAUACUGCUAUAUCCUCCAAUUUAUUCAAUGGUCUUGAAUUUGAGAAGUGGUCUGAAUAUUGCAAGACAAUUAGGCCUCCUGGGUUGUCUUUUGGUGAAUUUCAAACAUUGUAUCCGAUACCUUUAAGAUCUCUUAUGUGGCUUGCAAAUAUAUGGUAGUAGUGCUAUGUCGAGUGAAAUUGUUCUUUUCUUUGGUCUCUCUUUAGAAGUGGAAUUUUGGUUCUGAUCUCAUAAGGUUAUACUAGUUUUAAAAAAUUACUGUUUGCUGUCGAUUUUGAAUAUCAAGAAAUGGACACUUACGAAACUGCAUUCCACUCUUAUUGUAAAAAUGAUACUUUCUGGUUCACUGGCUUGUGAAAACAGCAUAUACUCAGUAUUGACAGUGUCAACACACUAAAAGUGCAGCCCAGAUCGAAAAGCCCAAAGAAUGAAGCCCAAUUGGGUAAUUCAGGAUAAAAUGCUGAAAUAGGGCUAGUAAUGAAUGCAGUGGAAGUCCACGAAUGUGGUAACACCAUCGCCCAAACUUGGAAGAUGCCCAAGAUCUGAGCGAAUGAAGUGCCUUGCAGUCACCCAGAGCUAUGACCCUAUUUUCGUCCAAACCUUCGAAUUGCCCAGGAUCUUAACUAACAUAAGAUGUUAUGGUUAUCCAGAAGUACAUUUAUUGAAGCAGCUUAUCACGUUCCACGAUUCAAGGAGUUCAUUUGAAGACGGUUAAACGACAAAGAGUAGUGACAGCAGUUAGAGACGACAGUUCCACGACACGAUGGCCACCAUAAAUGAAGUGGGUAGUUAUAAAACAAUCAAGUAGUUUCUAAGCGGUUGAUCAUGAAGAAAUCAUUAAGGGAAUAUAAAAGGAAGAGAAGAUAUAGAGAAAACGACCCCGGAAUCAAAUACUCUCAAACAGAGAAUAUGUAAUUUCAAUUUCUUAUUUUAGACUUAAACAUUUCUUUUCAGUACUCGUGUACUUGCG
rnacentral:lncRNA from 1 species